CUGCAAUGUUUGUUUACUAAUUACUUUUCACAUUCGCUCAUCUAUUUCUACAUAGAAUUGUGCCUUCCACGGGAGAAAUCUGUUUUUCAGGAUCUGCUUACUUACUCAUCAGAUGUUAAGUACUAAACCUACAUUUAUUUAGUAAUCUUCAUUACAAUGCAAUUUUCAAUUACCAGAUAUUUUAUUUUCUGCUUAUCAGUUUAUAAGCUCAAAUGCAUAAAGGUUUGCUCUCUUGCCAUCUAAGAGGUAAAACAAAUAAGGGACAGAACUAGAAUAAGGAGCCUGAAGGCACUCUUCUGGCCUUUAUCACCGUUGUUGAGGAAGAAAGAUCAUCUCACAAAGACUCCAGAGAAAACCAAGUCCUCUACUGUGUCUAGUGGCCUGGCAACAGUAAGGAAACAGUUUGAGAAAGGGAAGAUGUCUUCUUCAAACAGGACCUUUGUUCAGUACCAGCGCCAGCAGAAAUCUGCACAGAGAUUCAGAACAGAGAAAAACUGCAAACUGCAUCUAUGAUAUCCCACAGUCUGCCUUUAUAGAAGAAGGGAUGAAAUAAUGGAUAUUCCUACGUUCCACUUGUUUUGGAGAAGCAAGCAUCGUUUUACCCUCUGUUAAUGAAAUUUCAAUCAGGAAUCACGACAGACACAGAAAACAUGAGAACCUCCAACCUCUCUUCCUCCCUUCGUACCCAGAACUAGGCCAUGUAAUUAUAUUGUCAAAAUCUGGCCCAUAAUGUUUAAGCAGCUAUGGCUGUCACAUUAAACUAUUAUAAUCUUUUUCAAUAUUGCAACUACUUCAUAAGCAGUACAAAAGUUAUAGCAAUAAAGCAGUACUGGUUUUCA
rnacentral:lncRNA from 1 species